rnacentral:rRNA from 1 species
AUUGAACGCUGGCGGCAGGCUUAACACAUGCAAGUCGAGCGGGGUGAUGGUGCUUGCACUAUCACUUAGCGGCGGACGGGUGAGUAAUGCUUAGGAAUCUGCCUAUUAGUGGGGGACAACAUCUCGAAAGGGAUGCUAAUACCGCAUACGUCCUACGGGAGAAGGCAGGGGAUCACUUGUGACCUUGCGCUAAUAGAUGAGCCUAAGUCGGAUUAGCUAGUUGGUGGGGUAAAGGCCUACCAAGGCGACGAUCUGUAGCGGGUCUGAGAGGAUGAUCCGCCACACUGGGACUGAGACACGGCCCAGACUCCUACGGGAGGCAGCAGUGGGGAAUAUUGGACAAUGGGGGGAACCCUGAUCCAGCCAUGCCGCGUGUGUGAAGAAGGCCCUAUGGUUGUAAAGCACUUUAAGCGAGGAGGAGGCUCUUUUGGUUAAUACCCAAGAUGAGUGGACGUUACUCGCAGAAUAAGCACCGGCUAACUCUGUGCCAGCCGCCGCUGUAA